CUUAUACAAGAGACACAGGUAUCUUAUACAAGAGACACAGGUAUCUUAUACAAGAGACACAGGUAUCUUAUACAAGAGACACAGGUAUCUUAUACCAGAGACACAGGUAUCUUAUACAAGAGACACAGGUAUCUUAUACAAGAGACACAGGUAUCUUAUACCAGAGACACAGGUAUCUUAUACAAGAGACACAGGUAUCUUAUACAAGAGACACAGGUAUCUUAUACAAGAGACACAGGUAUCUUAUACAAGAUACACAGGUAUCUUAUACAAGAGACACAGGUAUCUUAUACAAGAGACACAGGUAUCUUAUACAAGAGACACCGGUAUCUUAUACAAGAGACACAGGUAUCUUAUACUAGAGACACAGGUAUCUUAUACAAGAGACACAGGUAUCUUAUACAAGAUAGGUAUCUUAUACAAGAGACACAGGUAUCUUAUACAAGAUAGGUAUCUUAUACAAGAGACACAGGUAUCUUAUACUAGAGACACAGGUAUCUUAUACAAGAGACACAGGUAUCUUAUACCAGAUAAACGGGUAGCUUAUAUCAGAGUUGUGGCCAUUCCCAUUUCAAUUCAGUCAAUUCUGAAAGUAAACUAAAAUUCUAAUUCCAAAAUGUUCUCAUAGAGAAACAUUGAGCAAAAAUGUUUAACUUCCUAAUCGACUGAAUAGAAAAGGAAUUGACCCCAACCCUGUUUCAUAAGCAGUUUUGUCCUGAACAUCAUAAUAACCCAUGAGACACAUGAUGAGACAAAUAAGAGCUCUUAUGGGAGCAUCAGUUAAAACACUUACUGUAAGCUUUUGCCCUGCAUGAAUAAAAUAUACAGACAACAGUUAAUGUCUCAGUCGAUUUGAAGAGACACAAAAACAAUAUGUACCUAGCUUCACUUAAUGCCCUCAGCAGUAGCAGUGAGCCAAGGAGGAAUUGACUUGAGGGUCUCUCCUUAAGAAGGUAAUAUGAAUGUGUUUCAAAUGUGUACUUUACUGUAUGCACAUCAUAUGAUGUUUCUGUUGUGCUGUUGGAUAAACAAACCAGUUGAAUUAGAUUAGACCUUUAAGCUGCGAUUCCCAGCAUGUCAUGGAGUCACUCAAAAUAAAUUAACUAAGUAAUCAAGAGAUAAAAUAGAUAAAUAGAUAAAAUAUCCCUGUCCCUGGUUUGAUUCACAAGUCAAGUGUGCCUUUUGAAUGAGGGAUGGAGGGGUGUGUGUGUGUAGAAUAUGUGUAGUGGUGUCUUUUUGUCUCUUCUGUGUCUGUGUUUACUUGAUAUAACCAGCAGUGGGCUGACUGCUUCAGUCUCACACUGGGGGGAAAUUGUAUUGUUAACUUGAUCAUCUCUUACCUGGCGAUAAGGUGGUAGUGCAAUCCUAUGUUUUUUGAAGGAGGUAAACCUUAAGCAUAGCUGUAUUCUUUUAUAUGCUUUGAGUCGCUUUGUAGCUUCCUGCUACUUAUCUGCCUCGUGGCAUCAUUGUACUGUCCUCUUUACACAACAAAAUAAAUGUUUGCGAUGUG
ensembl:lncRNA